AGGGAUCCGACUCUCACGCCAAAGUCGGGAAAAGGAUUCUGCUGUCGGUCCCACUCCAAAAUUCUCAAAAUGGGUGGUGGGCACAGAAUCCGGACUCUGCUUGUGGCACAUGUCACCAGGCCCUCG
rnacentral:pre_miRNA from 15 species